CCUACGGGAGGCAGCAGUGAGGAAUAUUGGUCAAUGGACGAGAGUCUGACCCAGCCAAGUAGCGUGAAGGAUGAUUGCCCUAUGGGUUGUAAACUUCUUUUAUAAAGGAAUAAAACGAGGCACGUGUGCCUUUUUGCAUGUACUUUAUGAAUAAGGAUCGGCUAACUCCGUGCCAGCAGCCGCGGUAAUACGGAGGAUCCGAGCGUUAUCCGGAUUUAUUGGGUUUAAAGGGAGCGUAGAUGGGUUGUUAAGUCAGUUGUGAAAGUGUGCGGCUCAACCGUAAAAUUGCAAUUGAUACUGGCAGUCUUGAGUACAGUUGAGGUAAGCGGAAUUCGUGGUGUAGCGGUGAAAUGCUUAGAUAUCACGAAGAACCCCGAUUGCGAAGGCAGCUUACUAAACUGUGACUGACAUUGAUGCUCGAAAGUGUGGGUAUCAAACAGGAUUAGAUACCCGAGUAGUC
rnacentral:rRNA from 1 species